AACGAACGCUGGCGGCAGGCCUAACACAUGCAAGUCGAACGCUCGUAGCAAUACGAGAGUGGCAGACGGGUGAGUAACACGUGGGAACCUUCCCUAUGGUUCGGAAUAGCUCAGGGAAACUUGGGGUAAUACCGGAUAAGCCCUUCGGGGGAAAGAUUUAUCGCCAUUGGAUGGGCCCGCGUCGGAUUAGCUAGUUGGUGAGGUAACGGCUCACCAAGGCAACGAUCCGUAGCUGGUCUGAGAGGAUGAUCAGCCACACUGGGACUGAGACACGGCCCAGACUCCUACGGGAGGCAGCAGUGGGGAAUAUUGGACAAUGGGCGCAAGCCUGAUCCAGCGAUGCCGCGUGUGUGAAGAAGGCCUGCGGGUUGUAAAGCACUUUCAGUAGGGAAGAAAG
rnacentral:rRNA from 1 species